CUGGAUGUGGGACACGAGACACUGCUGGUACAAUUACCCCUAUCAGGUGCUGACCUCAGGCCUGUAUUAUUAUUAUAUAACAGAACUGGCCUUCUACUGGUCGCUCAUGUUCUCACAGUUCACAGACAUCAAAAGAAAGG